rnacentral:rRNA from 2 species
AGGCGACGAUCCCUAGCUGGUCUGAGAGGAUGACCAGCCACACUGGAACUGAGACACGGUCCAGACUCCUACGGGAGGCAGCAGUGGGGAAUAUUGCACAAUGGGCGCAAGCCUGAUGCAGCCAUGCCGCGUGUAUGAAGAAGGCCUUCGGGUUGUAAAGUACUUUCAGCGGGGAGGAAGGGAGUAAAGUUAAUACCUUUGCUCAUUGACGUUACCCGCAGAAGAAGCACCGGCUAACUCCGUGCCAGCAGCCGCGGUAAUACGGAGGGUGCAAGCGUUAAUCGGAAUUACUGGGCGUAAAGCGCACGCAGGCGGUUUGUUAAGUCAGAUGUGAAAUCCCCGGGCUCAACCUGGGAACUGCAUCUGAUACUGGCAAGCUUGAGUCUCGUAGAGGGGGGUAGAAUUCCAGGUGUAGCGGUGAAAUGCGUAGAGAUCUGGAGGAAUACCGGUGGCGAAGGCGGCCCCCUGGACGAAGACUGAC